UAUCAGUUGUAGUAACAUUUCAAUCUGCUGUGUGCUGCUAGCCUCGCAAGGAAGGAAGCACCAGCGUCGAGGCUAGCGAGCCUCGCUCGGAGGAGACACGCUUGGCCCAGCCGGGAGGAGACGCCGGCAAGCCUCGCGCGGAGGAGACCCACUCCUCCCCGGCGGGAGGAUACGUCGGCAAGCCUCGCGCUGAGCCCUCCGGAGGGAGCGACAGCGACAGCCGCCCCCAUCUGAAUGUGAAGAGGAGUCUCUCGCCUUCACCUGGCGAGUCCCUCCAAAAGGAGAAGAAGAUGCAGUUAGGGGCCACGACGUCCACCGAGCCCUCACCAGAGGAGCCCGCUGAGGAGACCCAUGCGCCCCUGUCGAGCCCUGAGGGGCGUGAGGAGAUGGCCCGCCAUGUUGAGACGGCAACGGGGCAGACGGUGACCGAAGAUGAUUGUGUGACUUCCCAGCCGCACGAAGACUUGCCUCCCCCAGCUGGGAGGAACGAGCUUCGCAAGGGAAGGGGGCCUCCGGAGGUGAGGAGGUGCCUCUAAAGGCGCGACGAGCCCCCAGCACAAGCCCACAGACGUGAAAUAACAUCAGGGUGUCAGCGAAAGCACAGACGUGAAAUAACAAUUUUGCAUCUGAUAGUAGGGUACUUUUACUAGUCAAAAAGGCCAAAACAAUUUUCAGCCAGGGUACUUCCACAUCUCAGAAUCACAUUUGUCUUCCCCAAUAGAGAACUCAAGAAAGACCAUUGGAUUAGUCAUUCAAUCGAUACGUGCUUCCAUAUCCUGAUGCA